AAAAGAAUGAUGAACCGGCAACUGCAAAAACCAAAACAACACAAAUCUAAACACAAAAGCAAAAACCCAAAACCCAAAAUCGAGAACAAAAUGGAGGACGACAACCAACAACGUCAACGAUAUGGAAAAUGGAGAGAGAGAACACAUUUACCUUGCUUAAAGGAAGAUGCUCAACGAAACUUCCCAUUUCGAACACCGAGAACGACAACCAACAGCAAGAACGAUAAGGAAAAUAGAUAGAGUGAACGAACACGCACAACACAAGGAGAAUGAAAAUGCACAAAAAGAAGCAAAACGCAGAGGGAGAAGGAAAACGAAGAGAGAACCUUCGUUUCUAAUGAAACAGGACAAGGGUAUAAUUGGAAUUCCAAUUUUUUGAAACCCUCUUCAUUUUCAAUGUCAUAUUUUAUCAAUAAAACUAAAAUCAAAAUGGACCAAUGACAAGCUGACAACUGUUGUUGUCAAAUGUGUGUUAAAAAUGGAUUGUCAAAAUAACGGG
rnacentral:lncRNA from 1 species